GGAUAACUGCGGGGCGUCAGGCACGUGUAGUAGGGGGGAGCAAGCGUUAAUCGGAAUUCAUGGGCGGAAGGCGUACGCAGGGGGGCUGUAAAGGCAGGUGUGGAAUCCCCGGGCUCAACCUUGGAACUGCAUUUGAAACUGGCAGGCUUGAGUCUUGUAGAGGGGGGUAGAAUUCCAGAUGUAGCGGUGAAAUGCGUAGAGAUCUGGGGGAAUACCGGUGGCGAAGGCGGCCCCCUGGACAAAGACUGACGCUCAGGUGCGAAAGCGUGGGGAGCAAACAGGAUUAGAUACCCGUGAGUC
rnacentral:rRNA from 1 species